rnacentral:rRNA from 1 species
GAUGAACGCUAGCUACAGGCUUAACACAUGCAAGUCGAGGGGAAACGACAUCGAAAGCUUGCUUUUGAUGGGCGUCGACCGGCGCACGGGUGAGUAACGCGUAUCCAACCUGGCCCACCACUUGGGGAUAACCUUGCGAAAGUAAGACCUAAUACCCAAUGACGUCUCUAGAAGACAUCUGAAAGGGAUUAAAGAUUUAUCGGUGAUGGAUGGGGAUGCGUCUGAUUAGUUAGUCGGCGGGUAACGGCCCACCGAGACGACGAUCAGUAGGGGUUCUGAGAGGAAAGUCCCCCCACAUUGGAACUGAGACACGGUCCAAACUCCUACGGGAGGCAGCAGUGAGGAAUAUUGGUCAAUGGGCGGAAGCCUGAACCAGCCAAGUAGCGUGCAGGACGACGGCCCCUAUGGGGUUGUAAAACCUGGCCUUUUUUAA